AGGACGAACGCUGGCGGCGUGCUUCAUACAUGCAAGUCGAACGAGAAUCUCUAGCUUGCUAGAGAGGAAAGUGGCGGACGGGUGAGUAAUGUGUAGAGAAUCUGCCCUUUAGAGGGGGACAACAGUUGGAAACGACUGCUAAUACCCCAUAUGAGCGUACCUGAAAUGGUAUUCUUGAAAACUCCGGUGCUAAAGGAUGAGUCUGCACCUGAUUAGCUAGUAGGCGGUGUAAUGGACCACCUAGGCGACGAUCAGUAGCUGGUUUGAGAGGAUGAUCAGCCACAAUGGGACUGAGACACGGCCCAUACUCCUACGGGAGGCAGCAGUAGGGAAUUUUGCGCAAUGGGGGAAACCCUGACGCCAGCAACGCCGCGUGAAUGAAGAAGCCCUUCGGGGUGUAAAGUUCUGUCAGUGGGGACGAAACUUGACGGUACCCACAGAGGAAGCAUCGGCUAACUCCGUGCCAGCCGCAGC
rnacentral:rRNA from 1 species